CAGUGGUUAGUUUAUUUAAAAUAUUAAUUUUGGAGAUUGAAGAUGAGUUUAUCGCUUACCGCUGA
rnacentral:tRNA from 2 species